AAAAACUAAAGUGGUGGAACCUUUGGACUAUGAGAACGUGAUCCUUCAACACAGAGUUCAGAUCUACAGUGAUCCCCUCCGGGACCUCCUGAUAUUUCCGAUCGAAGAUGUGUCUAUCUCGGUCAUCGGCCGACAGAGAAGGACUGUCCAGUCAACGGACCAGAAGAUGCUCUAAAGAAAGCUCAGAGUCUCUGUCAAAGAGUGCAUUAAAACCUACAGCUCUGACUGGUUUGUGGUAAACUACAAAUAUGAGGAAUACUCAGGAGACUUUUGGAUGUUGCCAUGCAAAUCCUUUAGGCCAGACAAGAUUCCAAGCCAUGUGUUUGAAAUUGAUGAAGACUUUGAAAAGGAUGAGCUCACAGAUGGCUCCUAUAUUCUGAAUUCCUACAAAGAUGAGAAAAUUUCAAAAGAAUCCAAAGGCUGCAUUUUCUUGGAUGCUUGCAAUGAUGCGGU